rnacentral:rRNA from 1 species
CAGAGGGGGCGAGCGUUGUUCGGAAUUACUGGGCGUAAAGGGCGCGUAGGCGGCCUUCUAAGUCGAACGUGAAAUCCCCGGGCUCAACCCGGGAACUGCGUCCGAUACUGGGAGGCUUGAAUCCGGGGAGAGGGAUGUGGAAUUCCAGGUGUAGCGGUGAAAUGCGUAGAUAUCUGGAGGAACACCGGUGGCGAAGGCGGCAUCCUGGACCGGUAUUGACGCUGAGGCGCGAAAGCCAGGGGAGCAAACGGGAUUAGAUACCCCGGUAGUCCUGGCCCUAAACGAUGAAUGCUUGGUGUGGCGGGUAUCGAUCCCUGCCGUGCCGAAGCUAACGCAUUAAGCAUUCCGCCUGGGGAGUACGGUCGCAAGGCUG